UUUCAAAUAAAGUCUGGUUCACAGGUUCUGGGCUUAGGACUCGCACAUAAUAUUUUUAGGGCUGAUGUUUGACCCACUGGAGCAGUGAGAAAUCGAGUAAAAAGUAGUAUAUUCUGGAGGUUAAGAGUCAUUGAGGGAGUCCAUCAAAAGGAGAUGAACCCAAGGUGAGAAAGCAUGGAUUUUGAAGGGAAAUGUGCCACAGUGACCAGGAUGUAUUUGAGGUUAAUUAAUCCUCCUAGUGGACGAGAAAAGGAAGCCGUAACGAAUGGCAUGGCGGGUCAUGCCUAUGGACUCUGGCUUCUGAGUCUCUGCAGUGACUCUCCCUGCUUAUUUCAGUUCAACGCUCUUCAGUCAAUGUGAAUCUUCACCCAAGCGAUUGUGAUGAUGGGAUCUCAGGGAAUGUCCUGCAGAGCCUGCAGCAGGGGGAACCCACUCACCAUGUACGGAUCUACAAAGUGAUACAGCCCAAUGGGUGGAUGAACAUGUGCACUGCCUUGGUUUGAAGCUUGAAAAAGGCCAUAGAACUGGGAGAGACAGAGUACAACCAGGAGGUUCAGAAGAGGGAGGAGAACUGCUGAACAUGGACUCGAUUUCAGAACCCUGAGAUCAUGACCUGAGAUCAGAGAAGCACUCAGAAGCCUCUUGACAGAAAGAGGUGAACUUUUUAGCAUAAAGGAACACCGUUUUCAGAUCUUCACGAGCAGCUGCUAUCGUCCAGAGAACUGUCAGAUGUUGGCGGAGGCGAGAUGACCUCUCAUUCCCGACUCACGGUGGUAGACCUCUCACCUUCUAACUCAUUUCUGACUCUUGCGUUUUCUGACUAUGUGGCUCGAAAGGACAGAAGGAGGAACCUUGGCACAAACUGUGAGAUGAUAUUUGAAGCUAAUUGUGUGUAGUUGAAAAACCAACAAAUACACCCUUUUCAGGUACCGGGUGCCCUGUCCUGAGGUGGCUCUUAGGUUGUGUGUGUUAUCCUGUGGAGUUUCAUUCACCCACACAGG